GACGAACGCUGGCGGCGUGCUUAACACAUGCAAGUCGAACGGAAAGGCCCUGCUUUUGUGGGGUGCUCGCGUGGCGAACGGGUGAGUAACACGUGAGUAACCUGCCCUUGACUUUGGGAUAACUUCAGGAAACUGGGGCUAAUACCGGAUAGGAGCUCCUGCUGCAUGGGGGUGGUUGGCAAGUUUCGGCGGUUGGGGAUGGACUCGCGGCUUAUCAGCUUGUUGUUGGGGUAGUGGCUUACCCAGGCUUUGACGGGUAGCCGGCCUGGGCGGGUGACCGGCCACAUUGGGCCUGAGCUGCGGCCCAGACUCCUCCGCGACGCAGAAGUGGGGAAUGUUGUCCAAUGGGCGGAAGCCUGAUGCAGCAACGCCGCGUGCGGGAUGACGGCCUUCGGGUUGUAAUCCGCUUUCGCCUGUGACGAAGCGUGAGUGACGGUAAUGGGUAAAGAAGCACCGGCUAACUACGUG
rnacentral:rRNA from 1 species